rnacentral:rRNA from 1 species
UACGUAGGUGGCGAGCGUUAUCCGGAAUUACUGGGCGUAAAGGGUGCGUAGGUGGUUUCUUAAGUCAGAGGUGGAAAGGCUACGGCUCAACCGUAGUAAGCCUUUGAAACUGGGAAACUUGAGUGCAGGAGAGGAGAGUGGAAUUCCUAGUGUAGCGGUGAAAUGCGUAGAUAUUAGGAGGAACACCAGUUGCGAAGGCGGCUCUCUGGACUGUAACUGACACUGAGGCACGAAAGCGUGGGGAGCAAACAGGAUUAGAUACCCGGGUAGUCCCUGAGCGGG